AUUGAACGCUGGCGGCAUGCUUUACACAUGCAAGUCGAACGGCAGCAUGACCUAGCUUGCUAAGUUGAUGGCGAGUGGCGAACGGGUGAGUAAUGCACCGGAACGUCCCCAGUAAUGGGGGAUAACGCACCGAACGGUGUGCUAAUACCGCAUACGCCCUGAGGGGGAAAGCGGGGGAUCGGAAGACCUCGCGUUACUGGAGCGGCCGAUGCCGGAUUAGCUAGUUGGGGGGGUAAAGGCCUACCAAGGCGACGAUCCGUAGCUGGUCUGAGAGGACGACAAGCCACACUGGGACUGAGACACGGCCCAGACUCCUACGGGAGGCAGCAGUGGGGAAUUUUGGACAAUGGGCGCAAGCCUGAUCCAGCCAUGCCGCGUGAGUGAAGAAGGCCUUCGGGUUGUAAAGCUCUUUCGCAAGGAAAGAAAACUUAGCUACUAAUACUAGCUGAGGAUGACGGUACCUUGAUAAGAAGCACCGGCUAACUACGUGCCAGCCGCCGCCGUAA
rnacentral:rRNA from 1 species